rnacentral:rRNA from 1 species
AUUGAACGCUAGCGGGAUGCUUUACACAUGCAAGUCGAACGGCAGCGCGGACUUCGGUCUGGCGGCGAGUGGCGAACGAGUGAGUAAUGUAUCGGAACGUGCCCAGUAGCGGGGGAUAACUACGCGAAAGCGUAGCUAAUACCGCAUACGCCCUACGGGGGAAAGCCGGGGAUCGUAAGACCUUGCACUAUUGGAGCGGCCGAUAUCGGAUUAGCUAGUUGGUGAGGUAACGGCUCACCAAGGCGACGAUCCGUAGCUGGUUUGAGAGGACGACCAGCCACACUGGGACUGAGACACGGCCCAGACUCCUACGGGAGGCAGCAGUGGGGAAUUUUGGACAAUGGGGGCAACCCUGAUCCAGCCAUCCCGCGUGUGCGAUGAAGGCCUUCGGGUUGUAAAGCACUUUUGGCAGGAAAGAAACGUCGCGGGCUAAUACCCCGUGGAACUGACGGUACCUGCAGAAUAAGCACCGGCUAACUACGUG